UACGUAGGGGCCAAGCGUUGUCCGGAUUUAUUGGGCGUAAAGAGCUCGUAGGCGGUUCGGCAAGUCAGCUGUGAAAUCUCCACGCUCAACGUGGAGGGGUCAGCUGAUACUGCUGUGACUUGAGUCCGGUAGGGGAGUGUGGAAUUCCCGGUGUAGCGGUGAAAUGCGCAGAUAUCGGGAGGAACACCAGUGGCGAAGGCGGCUCACUGGACCGUUGUUGACGCUGAGGUGCGAAAGCGUGGGGAGCAAACAGG
rnacentral:rRNA from 1 species